AUGGAGAAGGCAGCCACCACCACCAUGCCCGGGCCAAGAGACCCGGACGAGCAUGUGCAGCGCGUGGUGCGGCAGACGGCGGUGUGGUGGGCGGACGGUGGCCUCAGCGGCUGGGCAAAAACAGCUGCACCUGGUGCUCUACCGCACCUAUCCCUGGAUUUGGUGAGGGAAUGGAUGGAGGAGCAUGAGGAGAGGGAUCUCACCAUCAGCGGGCUCGCCAAGUACUUGCCUUGA
rnacentral:rRNA from 1 species